ACAAGUAAAAUAGGACUUGACCAUUCAC
rnacentral:sRNA from 1 species